ACAUCCAGCGAACUUGGCAGAGAUGCCUUGGUGCCUUCGGGAACGCUGAGACAGGUGCUGCAUGGCUGUCGUCAGCUCGUGUUGUGAAAUGUUCGGGUUAAGUCCCGNAACGAGCGCAACCCUUAUCCUUUGUUGCCAGCGAUUCGGUCGGGAACUCAAAGGAGACUGCCGGUGAUAAACCGGAGGAAGGUGGGGAUGACGUCAAGUCAUCAUGGCCCUUACGAGUAGGGCUACACACGUGCUACAAUGGCGCAUACAAAGAGAAGCGACCUCGCGAGAGCAAGCGGACCUCAUAAAGUGCGUCGUAGUCCGGAUCGGAGUCUGCAACUCGACUCCGUGAAGUCGGAAUCGCUAGUAAUCGUGGAUCAGAAUGCCACGGUGAAUACGUUCCCGGGCCUUGUACACACCGCCCGUCACACCAUGGGAGUGGGUUGCAAAAGAAGUAGGUAGCUUAACCUCCGGGAGGGCGCUUACCACUUUGUGAUUCAUGACUGGGGUGAAGUCGUAACAAGGUAGGCGUAGCGAG
rnacentral:rRNA from 1 species